rnacentral:tRNA from 1 species
ACCUGUCUGGCUCAGUUGGAAGAGCAUAAGACUCUUGAUCUCGAAGUCAUGAGUUUGAGACCCAUGCUGGGUG